ensembl:lncRNA
GGAAAACCAUAUGGAGUUUCCUUAAAAAUAAAUACCCAACAUAUAAAUGUGGUCCUAAAUUUAAAUUCCUGGGNNNNNNNNNNNNNNNNNNNNNNNNNNNNNAGAGAAACAAGAGGAAAUCAGGAAAAAGAAACAUCAAAGGGAUUAAUGGUGUGGAGUUUUUGGUCAUCACAAGAGUGAGAGAGUGCAAACAGUGCCCUCUCUCCUGCCAGCUAGGAGACCAGCAGGGUGAGCAAGCGCGAGCCUGGUGAGUGCUGGAGGACACGCUUCUGCACUGGGGGCCACCCUCCUACUCUGCUUUGCCUUCAAGAGGAGGGAAACGAACUGGUGAUUGGAAAGGGCUAUCCUUUGAUAGAGAGACUUAAAGAGAAAAUACUUAGAGCUAAAAUGUGAAGUUGGAAGGCUCAGGCAACAUCAGAGAAGGAGUCUAAUGAAGCACAGUUUGGUUUUCAGCUGAUAAGAAGCCCUCCAAAGCCUGAAGGCUCAGCAGCUCAGAAGAUGCUUGCCACCAAGGGAUGUCUCCAGGAGUGCUUGAUUGAUGGUGGACAAAGCCUGGCUGAGGCAGGGCCACUUACCUGGUAACGCCUGGAUGGCGGGGGCUGUGGGCCCGGCCGCCCGCCUCGCAGCAGUUGGCGAAGGAGCCGUUCUCAGGCAUCCCGGACGCUCCGGCGCCGCGCCAGCCACGGCGCACCCAGUCUCUCCGCAGGCGGGGCGCCCCUUUCCCUGCCCAGCCCCGCGCACCAGCGAGGAGGCCAGUGCGGAGGCACCCGGACCAGAUGAUUAAUUAAGCGUGGGCAGGGGGCGGAGAAAAACGUAGGACUGAGAGGAGCAUUUGGGGUGCAGGCGCUGCUGAAAGAAGCGCGUCUCCGCUUGGCUCGCUCAGCAGCAGGUGCGACGGCGCGCAGCCCGGAGCCCAGCACGUGCCUGGCCCGGUUCCGGCCUCAGCGCCUGAGCGCACCGCACAAGAAGCUGGGUGUCCAGGGACACCCAGAUUCUCGGACUGGAAAAGGUGCUGCUCGUCAGGACCUGCUGAUUGGCUGUCAGAAGGGCACUGCCCCUCUAAAGCGAAUACAUAACUCCAGGCGUCGCGGAGAGAUCAGGCAGGCAGCAGCAGGAGAAAGAAGACCCUGCGCUGUUUAUUUGCUGUUUACCUGAGAAGUCUUGGCGAUGCCUCAGCCCUGUCCUCUUUAUAAAACCGCGACAAUACUUAUGAACAUCUUUUUAAACAUAAUAGUACUUAAAGAGAUGUAUGGUCAAUAGUGGGGGCAUUUAUAAGGUGUUUUUUGAAGGGAUUAGACCACAAAGAGGAGUGCAGUAUGGUUAUAGGAAAGAAGAAACGCAGAUGCCCUUUAUUUAAAGUGUGUGAGCAAUUAAUCUUAUAAGAACAAUUGCUUGUCCCUCUCCAGGGUAAUUUUAUGCCAAGUACUGUCUUACCCACUUUUUGCAUCACUAGAAUCAAAAUGGCUGAUAAUCUAUUUGGCAAAGAAGUAAAGUACCUGCUUUGAUGAGAAUGAAAAAUGGUACAGUCACUGCUAUUUGGUAGUUUCUUAUACAAUUAAACAUAUUCCAUUUUUUGACCCGCAGUGAAAUGAAGAUGAAACAUAUGUGCACAAAAAAAUUUGUGCAAGAAUUGUCCAGAGCAGGGUUAGUUGUAGUAGCCUAGACAGCCCAAAGGUCCCUCAAGAGAGGAAUGGAUAAAACAAUUGUUAAUUGUCAAUAUGACUCAUCAGUAAAAGUUACAGAUACACAACAACAUGGGUUAAUCUAAACAGUAUUAUGUCGAGCAAAAGAAGCAAGAUAUAAAAGCAUACAUUCUUCAUUAUUCCAAUUGUAUGAUGUCCAAAAACAGGGAAAUUCAUCUAUGGUGAUAUUUAUCAGAACAGUGGUUGCCCAAUGCGAGGUGAAGAUUGACUGGAACAGAUCAUGGAAUAAAUUUCUGGGAUGUUAUUGGUAUGUGUUAUUAAUGUACAUUUUACUCUCCCACUCUGCACACACACACAAAAAACAGAAACAAAAGAACCGAGAGAGGAACUCUAACGGUGUGAUGUUGCAGGAGAAGAUUAUAGUUAAAGCAAUAAAUGCCUUGAGAGGUGAGCGCAUCUGAGCCCAAGGAAGGCAGAUCAUUGUUAGGAGAGAGAGGCUUUUCCCCCUACAGGGGAAAUGAAGCAUAAGCCCGUGCAAAUUUGGACGUGUUUCUAAAUCGGCAGGAGAUGGGGGAGUUCCUC